GCACUCUUGGUGAAGCCAGCAGCAUCUCAGUCUCAUAAUCUGAAGGUCCUGAGUUCAAGACUCUGAAAGGGCA
rnacentral:tRNA from 1 species